rfam:Myotis brandtii contig185557, whole genome shotgun sequence.
GCGUUGGUGGCUCAGUGGUAGAAUUCCUGCCUGCCACCCAGGAGGCCCGGGUUCCAUUCCUGCCCCAGGCG